rnacentral:rRNA from 1 species
CCUACGGGAGACAGCAGUGAGGAAUAUUGGUCAAUGGACGAGAGUCUGAACCAGCCAAGCCGCGUGAAGGACGAAGGUGCCAAGCAUUGUAAACUUCUUUUGUCAAGGGACAAAAUCAGGCUCGAGAGCCUGACCGAGGGUACUUGAAGAAAAAGCAUCGGCUAACUCCGUGCCAGCAGCCGCGGUAAUACGGAGGAUGCGAGCGUUAUCCGGAUUUAUUGGGUUUAAAGGGUGCGUAGGCGGACUGUUAAGUCAGCGGUAAAAGCCCGGGGCUCAACCCCGGCGAGCCGUUGAAACUGGCUGUCUUGAGAUGUCGAGAGGUAUGCGGAAUGCGCAGUGUAGCGGUGAAAUGCUUAGAUAUUGCGCAGAACUCCGAUUGCGAAGGCAGCAUACCGGCGGCGAUCUGACGCUGAGGCACGAAAGCGUGGGUAUCGAACAGGAUUAGAUACCCCUGUAGUC